rnacentral:antisense_RNA from 1 species
GACGGGCCCAGGAUUCAGCUUGGAGGGGGCUCUCAGUGUUUGAGGUUCUUUCAUCAUAAGUUGGUCACUGUAUUUCCUAAAGGAAUGACCUCCCUUCUUCAAGAGGUAAUCACACAUGCCCUGCUGAACUGGACAGAAAGCGGUAGCCAAAUAUCCUGUCGUCAAGCCUCCUUCAAGAUAACUCUGUAAGGAAAAAGGAGGACAGACAUUUAAUGACUUGUACAAGGCCAAACACCAAAUCAAGGACAAACUAGAAUACAAUCUCCUGAUAUUUGAAGUUGGGGAAGAGGGAAAAUGCAGGAAGAAGGAUAGAGCUGUUCAAGAGAAAUGCCUCAUACUAUUUCUUCUAUACGGAGGUGCAGAGAUUCUCCAUAACUCAAUCAUUCCAAGUCAUGUGGCAGGCCUAAGAUGAGACACUAUGAUUAUGAGUUUUACAGAAGUGGCAAAGAGAAGAAAAAAAAAAAAGGAUCAUCAAGAUUGCUAUAUUAACAGCCCCUUUUAAUAUAAGGCUUUUCAUCUAUUGAACCACAGCAUAGAGUUAAUACAUAGAAAACAACUCUCAAAUAAAUGCAAAUCAAUAGGCUCUCCACUGAUUAUUAUAUAAAGCAAUACAUUGCAGGGGAAUAAACCAAUAAUGCCUCUAUAUUUUGAAGUGUUCACUAAUUCUGAGUAAUUACCUCCUCCAAUGGCUCUAAUGAGUGCAAAUCUGUG